rnacentral:tRNA from 1 species
AGGAUUAUAAUUAAUUAUAAUAUUUGAUUUGCAAUCAUAAAGUACCAUAAAGGUUAAUCUUA